CCUCUCUUAUCAUGCUUAUCAUUACAUGUAUCAUGUGUAUACCAGGGAGAUGGGGUUUGGUGUGUGCAUUAACGUGUGCAUACAAUGAAAGAUAGCCGAGGUAUAGGCCUUAGUUUGUGUGUAAGUUCAUUGGGCAUGUUGGGUCGUCUCUUCGGUCAAGAGCGUGGGUGCUGUGUGCAUCAUUGCACGGUGCAAGCUUGUGUGUCAAAUACGCGCGAAACGACUAA